rnacentral:tRNA from 1 species
GAAGAAAUUGCUCAAAGGUUAAGAGCACUUGCUGUUAAUGAAGAGGACUUGGGUUCAGUUCCCAGUAUCUACA